rnacentral:miRNA from 2 species
AUUCCUUCUGGUCAAUGGGGUUGUUAUACCUCAUCGAUCUGAAGGAAAUCCUUCUUGUCGAUGAGGUAUAACAACCUCAUCAAACAGAAGGGAUUCCUUCUGGUCCAUGGGGUUGUUGUACCUCAUCAAUCUGAAGGAAAUCCUUCCGAUCGGUGAGGUAUAACAACCUCAUUGACCAGAAAGGAU